rnacentral:snRNA from 1 species
GAAUGUGAGGGUGAUCUGGCUAUGACAUCUGUCACCCCACUGGUCACCAGAGUUGAUUCGACUGAUCUGGCUGGCUAGGCGAGGGUCCCCUUCCUCCCUCACUGCUUGCUCCAUGUACUGCACUCCAUAAGCUGUGUGCUCUGUAGAAGACGAAAACCACCCCAACAGAGGAGAAUCCUUUCCUCUCUCCAGGGUACACAAGUAGCUGCACUCCCCUGCUAGAACCUCCAAGAAGCUCUCAGAAUCUGACUGCAGUCCUGCCAUCCCCGUUGGUCACUCAUGAGCAUCACGAUUCUUGUGUUCAUGC